UAUCACCCCAAAGGUGUGGCACCUGAGAACACAGGUGGAUUGGCUUGCCUAUCUUUGGCUCAUGGCUAAUGCACUCUGUGUUCUCAGGUCACCCCUUUGGGGCACCC
rnacentral:pre_miRNA from 1 species